rnacentral:rRNA from 1 species
CUACGUGCCAGCAGCCGCGGUAAUACGGAAGGUUCGGGCGUUAUCCGGAUUUAUUGGGUUUAAAGGGAGCGUAGGCCGGAGAUUAAGUGUGUUGUGAAAUGUAGACGCUCAACGUCUGACUUGCAGCGCAUACUGGUUUCCUUGAGUACGCACAACGUUGGCGGAAUUCGUCGUGUAGCGGUGAAAUGCUUAGAUAUGACGAAGAACUCCGAUUGCGAAGGCAGCUUACUGUAGCGCAACUGACGCUGAUGCUCGAAAGCGUGGGUAUCGAACAGGAUUAGAUACCCUGGUAGUCCACGCGGUAAACGAUGGAUGCUCGUUGUCGGCCUUUGUGGUCGGUGACCAAGCGAAAGCGUUAAGCAUCCCACCUGGGGAGUACGCCGGCAACGGUGAAACUCAAAGGAAUUGACGGGGGCCCGCACAAGCGGAGGAACAUGUGGUUUAAUUCGAUGAUACGCGAGGAACCUUACCCGGGCUUGA